rnacentral:rRNA from 1 species
UUUGAGUGUUGUGUCUGCUUCACAUCCCAGACGGGGGAGGGGACGAGCCGCGAGCGGGAACCAGAGAGGGACCCGAAGGGGGGCGCAAGCGNCGNCGAGAACGCCCGGGAGGCCCCACCGCGAGCCAACGAAACCCAAAGGGGAGGGAGCAAGCGCCCGCCGGGGGCCGAGGCAAGCGCAUGAAGGAACCCCGCGAGGGGGAGUGGGUGGCGAGGAAUCAAGCUCAAAGGAAAUGGCAGGGAACCCCCCACAACGGGGGAGCCAGGGGGUAAAAUCAAAACAACGCGAAGAGCCUUUGCCAGGCCUUGCCAUCCUGCAGGCAGAGGCAUGGAAGGGCUUUCCCUUCGGGGCAGCAGGGCCAGGGGGGGCAGGGUGGUCGGCAGCUCGGUUCGUGAGAUGUGGGGUAAGUCCCGCAACGAGCGCAACCCCUGUUCCCAGUAGCCAGCGUAUCGGCAGGGCACUCUGGGGAGACAGCCAGGGACAACCUGGAGGAAGGCGGGGAUGACGUCAAAUCAUCAUGCCCCUUAUGGCCUGGGCGACACACGUGCNACAAUGACGCAGACAGAGGGAGGCGAAGCCGCGAGGCGGAGCAAACCCCAGAAAUGGCGUCUCAGUUCGGACUGCAGCCUGCAACCCGGCCGCACGAAGCCGGAAUCGCUAGUAAUCGCAGAUCAGCAUGCUGCGGUGAAUAAGUUCCCGGGUCUUGUACACACCGCCCGUCACACCAUGGGAGUCGGAAAUGCCCGAAGUCAGUGGCCCAACCGCAAGGAGGGAGCUGCCGAAGGCAGGUCCGGUGACUGGGGUGAAGUCGUAACAAGG